GACGAACGCUGGCGGCGCGCCUAACACAUGCAAGUCGAACGAGCGAGAGAGAGCUUGCUUUCUUGAGCGAGUGGCGAACGGGUGAGUAACGCGUGAGGAACCUGCCUCAAAGAGGGGGACAACAGUUGGAAACGACUGCUAAUACCGCAUAAGCCCACGGUGCCGCAUGGCACAGAGGGAAAAGGAGCAAUCCGCUUUGAGAUGGCCUCGCGUCCGAUUAGCUAGUUGGUGAGGUAACGGCCCACCAAGGCGACGAUCGGUAGCCGGACUGAGAGGUUGAAAGGCCACAUUGGGACUGAGACACGGCCCAGACUCCUACGGGAGGCAGCAGUGGGGAAUAUUGCACAAUGGGGGAAACCCUGAUGCAGCGACGCCGCGUGGAGGAAGAAGGUCUUCGGAUUGUAAACUCCUGUUGUUGGGGAAGAUAAUGACGGUACCCAACAAGGAAGUGACGGCUAACUACGUG
rnacentral:rRNA from 1 species